rnacentral:misc_RNA from 1 species
AACACUGUUAACCUGCGGUACCUGCGGAAGGAUCAUUAUAGUAUAUGGAAUCUCCAUCCUAUAAACCCACUCUGCGUAUCUUGUAACUGUUGCUUCCAUGGGACUUGGUUCCGCCACACCGGCUUCACGGCUGGUGAGCGCCCAUGGAAGGAGAAACAAAACUCUUCUUUGAAAUGUAGUCAGUCUGAACAAGUUUUUAUAAACGUUAAAACUUUCAGCAAUGGAUCUCAGAUCGGAAGA